rnacentral:rRNA from 1 species
GAUGAGCAUGCGUCCCAUUAGCUAGUUGGUAAGGUAACGGCUUACCAAGGCGACGAUGGGUAGGGGUCCUGAGAGGGAGAUCCCCCACACUGGUACUGAGACACGGACCAGACUCCUACGGGAGGCAGCAGUGAGGAAUAUUGGUCAAUGGGCGUAAGCCUGAACCAGCCAUGCCGCGUGCAGGAUGAAGCAUCUAUGGUGUGUAAACUGCUUUUGUACGAGAAGAAACACUCCUACGUGUAGGAGCUUGACGGUAUCGUAAGAAUAAGGACCGGCUAACUCCGUGCCAGCAGCCGCGGUAAUACGGAGGGUCCAAGCGUUAUCCGGAAUCAUUGGGUUUAAAGGGUCCGUAGGCGGUUUAGUAAGUCAGUGGUGAAAGCCCAUCGCUCAACGGUGGAACGGCCAUUGAUACUGCUAAACUUGAAUUAUUAGGAAGUAACUAGAAUAUGUAGUGUAGCGGUGAAAUGCUUAGAUAUUACAUGGAAUACCAAUUGCGAAGGCAGGUUACUACUAAUGGAUUGACGCUGAUGGACGAAAGC